rnacentral:rRNA from 1 species
AUACGUAGGUGACAAGCGUUAUCCGGAUUUACUGGGCGUAAAGGGCGUGUAGGCGGUCUUGCAAGUCAGAAGUGAAAUUCCUGAGCUCAACUCGGGCGCUGCUUCUGAAACUGCAGGACUUGAGUGCUGGAGGGGAUAGCGGAAUUCCUAGUGGAGCGGUAAAAUGCGCAGAUAUUAGGAAGAACACCGGUGGCGAAGGCGGCUAUCUGGACAGUAACUGACGCUGAGGCGCGAAAGCGUGGGGAGCAAACAGGAUUAGAUACCCUGGUAGUCCACGCCUUAAACGAUGAAUACUAGGUGUAGGGGUAUCGACUCCCUCUGUGCCGCAGUUAACACAAUAAGUAUUCCGCCUGGGGAGUACGGCCGCAAGGUUGAAACUCAAAUGAAUUGACGGGG